AGAGUUUGAUCAUGGCUCAGGAUGAACGCUAGCUACAGGCUUAACACAUGCAAGUCGAGGGGAAACGACAUCGAAAGCUUGCUUUUGAUGGGCGUCGACCGGCGCACGGGUGAGUAACGCGUAUCCAACCUGCCCACCACUUGGGGAUAACCUUGCGAAAGUAAGACUAAUACCCAAUGACGUCUCUAGAAGACAUCUGAAGGAGAUUAAAGAUUUAUCGGUGAUGGAUGGGGAUGCGUCUGAUUAGCUUGUUGGCGGGGUAACGGCCACCAAGGCGACGAUCAGUAGGGGUUCUGAGAGGAAGGUCCCCCGACAUUGGAACUGAGACACGGUCCAACUACCUACGGGAGGCA
rnacentral:rRNA from 1 species